rnacentral:pre_miRNA from 1 species
AGAUGUGCUCUCCUGGCCCAUGAAAUCAAGCGUGGGUGAGACCUGGUGCAGAACGGGAAGGCGACCCAUACUUGGUUUCAGAGGCUGUGAGAAUA